UACGUAGGGGGCUAGCGUUGCUCGGAUUUACUGGGCGUAAAGGGCGCGUAGGCGGUCAGUUUAGUCAGAGGUGAAAGCCCAGGGCUCAACCUUGGAAGUGCCUUUGAUACUGGCUGUCUCGAGUCCGGUAGAGGUGAGUGGAAUUCCGAGUGUAGAGGUGAAAUUCGUAGAUAUUCGGAGGAACACCAGUGGCGAAGGCGGCUCACUGGGCCGGUACUGACGCUGAGGUGCGAAAGCGUGGGGAGCAAACAGG
rnacentral:rRNA from 1 species